GGGCCGGUAGAUCAGUGGUAGAUCGCCACCUUGGCAUGGUGGAGGCCCCGGGUUCGAAUCCCGGCCGGUCCA
rnacentral:tRNA from 1 species